rnacentral:rRNA from 1 species
GUGGGGAAUAUUGGGCAAUGGGGGCAACCCUGACCCAGCGACGCCGCGUGGGUGAAGAAAUCCCUCGGGAUGUAAAGCCCUGUUGUAUGGGAAGAGCAGAAGACGGUACCAUACGAGGAAGCCCCGGCAAACUACGUGCCAGCAGCCGCGGUAAUACGUAGGGGGCAAGCGUUGUCCGGAAUUACUGGGCGUAAAGCGCACGCAGGCUGAAUUAUAAGUCGGUAGUCAAAUACGGAGGCUCAACUUCCGGAUAUCUAUCGAUACUGUAAAUCUAGAGUAUGUGAGAGGGAAGCGGAAUUCCCGGUGUAGCGGUGAAAAGCGUAGAUAUCGGGAGGAACACCAGUGGCGAAGGCGGCUUCCUGGCACAAUACUGACGCUCAUGUGCGAAAGCUAGGGCAGCGAACGGGAUUAGAUACCCGAGUAGUCC